rnacentral:rRNA from 1 species
UAUCUCUGUAGAGUCUGCAUAUCAAUAAGCGGAGGAAAAGAAACUAACAAGGAUUCCCUUAGUAACGGCGAGUGAAGCGGGAAGAGCUCAAAUUUGAAAUCUUCAAGGUUCUACCUUGACGAAUUGUAGUUUAUAGAAGUGUUUUCUGUUAGUGGAGUCGGCUAAAAGUUCUUUGGAAUAGGACAUCAUAGAGGGUGAGAAUCCCGUAUUUGACCAGUUACUUUCCAGCUGUGUGAUACACUUUCAAAGAGUCGGAUUGUUUGGGAAUGCAGUCCAAAAUGGGUGGUAAAUUUCAUCUAAAGCUAAAUAUUGGCGAGAGACCGAUAGCGAACAAGUACCGUGAGGGAAAGAUGAAAAGAACUUUGAAAAGAGAGUUAAACAGUACGUGAAAUUGUCAAAAGGGAAGCGUUUGACACCAGUGUUGUUUUCUCGAAAAUCAAUUAAAAAUGGCGGGAUUUUGUGUUGUAUUGACUUUAUCAAGCUUUCUUCACUUUUUUCCUACCUUUUUAAUGCACUUUUCGUUUAACAAGUCAACAUCAGUUUCUUUUGUUGUAAAAGAGUCAUUGGAAGGUGGCUUUCUUUUCGGAGAAAGUGUUUAUAGCCUUUGACUUCUGCAAUCGGAGAGAUUGAGGUCUGCAGCGUAGAUCCUUCGGGGUUAGAUACAUUUGUGCUAAGCUAUAGCCUUUCAUAGACAACUUGUUGACUAUGAUCAGUCAGUGUAGCUUACUCGCUUAUGUCAUUUUACCUACGCUUAGGAUGUUGAGUAGCGACAUACGCAC